ensembl:lncRNA
UAUAUACAUUUACACUGAUGGCACACUGCACAUCAGGAGCAAUUAGGGGUUCAGUGUCUUGCUCAAGGACGCUUCGACAGGGAAUCGAACUAGCAACCUUCUGAUUACUGAACGACUUCUCUACCACUGUACCGCUGUCGCAUAACCACAUAUUUGUCAUAUUUAAGAGCAUCUGUUCUGGAUCUGUUUGUUCAAUAAACAUAUCUUUCAGUGCUCAUGCCAUAGCCCAGAAGGGUGCCCCUCAUAGGUUAAGGGUCAUGGGUUAGGGGUUAAGGGUCAUGGGUUAAGGGUUAAGGGUUGUCGUGUUUGCUGUCAUUAGCGCCCCACAUGUUGCUGAAUGCCUAUCGGACUGAGUACUGUUGUCUUACGGUGUCGGCAUGUAAACUGGGAGUCCCAGCAUCGCCAUCUAUUGGAUGGAGGGACUUACUGCAGCGCCUCACUCCAGCGGUCAUGACCCUUUAGUUUAGCACACGCUGCUGCCCAGCAGGGGGUCACUCAGAGGUCAGAGGUCAGGACCCUUUAGUUUAGCACAUGCUGCUGCCCAGCAGGGGGUCAAUCAGGAGGUCAGAGGUCAAGAGGUCAGAGAGGGCUGUGCCCUCAGAGGUGAUCUGAAGAGUGAGGAGAAAUAAAGCUCUAUUUGAGACUGUAUGGUGUGUGUGUGUGUGUGUGUGUGUGUGUGUGUGUAUCGUAUAACCCUAACCCUUCAUGUACACGACGUGUGUAUGGUGUGUGUGUGUGUAUGGUGUGUGUGUGUGUGUGUGUCGUAUAACCCUAACCCUUCAUGUACACGAUGUGUGUGUGUAUGGUGUGUGUGUGUGUGUGUGUGAAUAUGAGUAUGCGUGUGUGUUUUUGUGUGUGUUCAAAAGGUGAGUGUGUGGGCCUGCCUGUGUGUGUCUGAGUAUGAGUAUGUGUGUGUGUUGCCCUGAUACCAGUUGUUUUACAAAAGUCUGAAAUUUUGUGUCUUAAUUUUAUGAUUUGUAAUAAGAGGCUAAUUGUAUUGAUUUGUAAUAAGAGGUAUAAUUACUAGACUGGAUGUUUUAAGGGUUUUAAAGGGAUUUUAAUUAUUUUAUUGUAGGAAACAUAAUGUGUGAUUAUGUCGUUUAUUAUUAUCUUUACUUGAUAAUAAAAUUCAAAAGAAAUCUGAAA